ACCGGUUCGAUUGGGAUUCUCAUCAAUUACAACUUUGAAACCGAGAAGGCUGUUCUGACAAUGGCGUGCCGAUAUGCGCAAGGCGUAGGGUCGGAUUACAGAGGCAGAAAGGGCGCUCAAAUCCUAUCUUUUCAGGAGUUUCAUCACAUCACCGGCUCAGCCUUUUU
rnacentral:sRNA from 1 species